rnacentral:rRNA from 1 species
AGAUUGAACGCUGGCGGAAUGCUCUACACAUGCAAGUCGAGCGGCAGCGCGGGGCGACCUGGCGGCGAGCGGCGAACGGGUGAGUAAUGCAUCGGAACAUGUCCAUGUCGUGGGGGAUAGCCCGGCGAAAGCCGGAUUAACUACCGCAUACGCCCGAGAGGGGAAGUGGGGGACCGCAAGGCCUCACGCGAUUGGGUUGGCCGA